rnacentral:lncRNA from 1 species
AUGAGGCCUAGUGACCGAGGCUGGGCCGAAGUCCAGGUGACCUCGCCCGCGUUCACUCAGCUCUUAGAACCCAGAGCUCAAUGGGAAGAAGACAGAGGCACAGAGCUGCCAGCUCCCCUGGUGCACACAGGCGGGGGAGCCCAUGUUACGGGGACACAGCGGCAGGACAAAACCCCAACCUCACCUCUGCAUGCUCUUUUAAGAUUUAAAUCAAGUACAAACCGAGAACUAAGGAGCCCAUGUUGGGACCUCCAAACAUCAGCCUCGCGGAGCAGAGAGAGACAGGGAAAGGACGAACACAGACCCGGGAACGAGUGGAGCGGUGGGGCUGGCCGUGGGGCUCCUUCCUCUUCCCCAGUCGGUGCUCAGUCAAACGGCGCCGUUCCGAGGAGCAUGCGGCACCCUCGCCACUGCUCAUCAAGGUAUCCUACUUCGGAACCGGAUCACAGUUCGCAGUUAUGGGCGCUUUGGCAGCGAAGACAUAGCUCUAUCUACCGCAUUCCUGAGUCUUGGUACUGUCUCUCCAGCCUUCUCUGGGUCCCCUUGCCUGCCGGUGAGGACUGAUCUCCCUGAAGAGACACAGCCAAACCACAGGAGCCCCUAUCACCUCACUAGACCACAAGUGACCGUGCCAACGUGAAGACGUUUGUGCCAGGUUUGCGUCUCUGCUGACACUGGGCUUUACACGGGUCGGCUUUCCUUUUCCAAGGAGCAAAACACCUGCCAAGAUCCAAAGUGAGGAUCUAUAAAUCAAACACAGUUCAGACUUGGCAAUUCUAUUUUAUUAGAAACAAAGAGAUGCUGAUACCUUAAAAGCC